ensembl:lncRNA
GACACCGUUUCGAGCGCACCGUAAUUAAUGUAAAUGCACUUGCUGGACGGGUUGCAGAGUCCACCUUCAUUGUAGGAAGGCCCUUGAGAAACGCAGGGCACCGAGAUGACGCCUCCGUGUUCAUCCCGCUUCGGAGGCUGUGGGAACAGUCCGAGUUUGAAGCCAGCUUGCUUUUGCUUUGCUUCCCACCGCCACCCCCUUUCCGCUCCGCGUAAAGGCUUUUGCUUUUGUCUUAAAAGGCAUCUGAGAACCAACCUUACGAAAUAGGCAAGGAGAGUGCUGAGGGGAAAUCACCCGAGCCUGCGGGAAGCCUGCGUUUCGACAGCGUGUACAUGCCACAGUGAGUUGAGGAGCGCGGUGCUCUGCGCGGCGCUCCGCGGGCUGGGUGUCGAACAGGAGGACCCUUUGCUGCGCGGGCCGGCCGUUGUCGAUCCGGAUCGGUCUGCGUUUUAUCGACAGCGUCUCUUGGGGGUGGGGGGUGGGGUGGGGAGGAGGGAGGGAGGGGGAAGAGUUGCUCUGCCUCUGAAGCCCUCCUUAGGUUUAUCUGCAUCGCUUCGCUCAAGUCCAGCGGGAGUGGCCGUCUCACCGCCCUGCAGGUCUCUGUCUGCACAGCUUUGCUUGGGAAAGUCCGCUCGCACCACGCAGCGCGCCGGGCCGAGCCCGGCUGCCGCCGGCGUACGGCGCUGCUGGGUCAGAGGCACCGCACCCCGCGCCUCUCCGAGAAGGGACACGCAGCCCCGGGCGCUGGCACGGUGUUAACUGCCAGCCUACGGUCUGGGUGGUUCGCUCCCCCGCUUCCCCCUUUCCUCACUCUCUUCUUCUUAAGGGAGAUUCACGGAGAAAGUCUCCGAUGAAUUUCUACGGCCGCUUUGUAAUCUCGCGUCGUUUACGGCAUGGAGUAAAGGAACCCGCAUGCACGCAGGGUCCAGUGGCAGUUUCCAGAGUGGGAAAACGAAGGGCUCUGUCGUUUGGAGCCAAUAGUUUUUCAGGGGUCGUGACUACGAGGCAGCUCUCCGAGUCGGCUCCAAAGGGAGGGAGGAAGGAACGCAGGGAGGGUCACUACACUGAGGCUUUCCCACGGUCGCUCCACCACCUCCUUAACACCGGGAUAGCGAAACACCCGUGGAGAGAGGUGGUGAUAAUCAUAACAUUGUGCAUUAUCAUGUUAGUCUUUAUGGGAGCACAAGACAGGUCUGCUGUGAUUAUCAGAACUCUGCAAGCUUGGAAGGAAAGCAUGUGUUUUUUAGAUACAAGGAAAAUAAUUAAAGAAGAAAACAGCUGUGUAACAAUGUGGCUAUGGCACAAUGACACCCAAUUGGAUUUCUAAUAAAUGAUUAAAUU